CCAGUGCGUAGUCGGUACCGCUCAGGAGCAUGUGUUGCCCAAACUUGGCAAAGUACGGCGACACUCCUGUGCUCGCAUGGACUGCACUGCAUAGAGCCGCCUGGAUCUCCGGCAACUUUUCGACCCACGUCGUCUGGUCUUCGCUCACGUGAAUCCUAAUUGCUGCCAGAACAGACCGAUUUACGCGUUCCGAAGCAUUCGUCUGCGGCGAGUAAUUUGCGGUCUUAGUUUGGGUGAUUCCAUGGUGAUUUAUGAACGCUCCGAGCUCCUGCGACGUGAACUGUUUCCCGUUAUCGUCGCUACCGCUGUCGCUUUUGAGAUUGCUCUGAGCCAUACAAACUUUGUGAGAUGGUCAAGUGCGAUGAGAAAAUACGCGUUUCCUUUCCUUGACCUCGGAUACUUUCCCAGGAAAUCCAGGUAGAUCUUCUGCAUGGGACGGUCCGUGAUCACCUUCUUUCCCAUUGGAGGUCUGGUUAUUUGGGUGGUGUGCUUCGUCUCCUUGCACGUGUCACACCCUAACACAUACUCCCGCACCUCUACGGUCAUCCUCGGCCAGUAAUAAAACUGCCGGAGUCUCCCCAGCGUCUUGGCCACACCUUCGUGCAUCCUGGUCUCUCCCUCGUGUGCUUGCUGAAUAAGAGUGCUAGUGAUGGCUUCCGGAAUCCACAACUUCCACUGGAACUCCUCCGUGUCCUCACGAGCAAACUGAGCGCGUUUGAACAGGAGUCCUUCCUCGACUCGAAGGUCUGGGAACUGUGCUCUGUUCUCCUCCACCAACUGAAGCCGUUCCAAGUAUUCGUCGCUCUCAAACGCCGUGGUUUCGAAAUCGAAGAUAUUCAGCUCCUCCAACUUGAACGGACGGGACAGCAUAUUGGCCACCACGUUGUCCUUUGCUUUCCGGUGCUCAAUCUUGAACUGGAACGUCUGCAGAGCCAUGGACCACCUCGCCAGCCGCCCCUCCAAAUUCUUCAAAGAUCCGUGAAGAUCCGGCGUGAUCCGUGAUUAUGGUGAAAGACAUUAACUCCACGUAGGGUCUGAAUCUCUCGACGGCCUUAACCGCUGCCAAGCAUUCCUUCUCCGUGACGCUGUAGUUGAGCUGCGCUCCACUGAGAAUAAAAUAAAAUAUGGACGCUUAAAAUCCGGGUGAACCAGGACUUGAGGGCAUGGAACGCUGUGAUCGCCUCAUCUGUCAUCUUGAACUUCGUCUUCUCCUUCAAGCAAUCCGUCAGUGCUGCAGAUAGACCUGAAAAGUCGCGGAUGCAUCUGUGGUUCCACCCGGAAGUUCCCAAGAAUCUCCUCAGCUGCCGUACGCUUUUUGGUACUGGAAUUUGGCGAAUCGCUUUCACCUUUUCUGGAUCCGUUCGCAACAUCCCCACGCCGAUGACAUAUCCCAGGUACCGAAGGUACUUGAAACAUAAGUUGAAUAUCUGCAGCCCGAUCGUCAAGUUCGCAUCGCUCAGACACCUCGCCACCUUGGAUACUAGUGCCAUGUGUUCCUCAAGCGUUUUGGAGAUUAUACGCAGAUCAUCCAAGUAUACAAACACCUUACCUCGGAGUGCCUGGGGUAUGACGCGGUCCAUCAGUCGACACAACCUUUGUGCAGCGUUGCACAAUCCAAACGGCAUCAUCCGAAAUUUAUAGAGAGGCCGACCCGGAAUUGUGAAAGCCGUGUACUCCCUACUCUUCGGAUCGAGCUCUAUCUGCCAGAACGCGUGCUUUAAAUCAACGCUGCUGAUAUACACGGCAUCAUCCACUCGGUUCAGUAUCGACUCGAUGUUUUGGAGCGGAUAGGCAUUGUAAAAGGAUUAUUGUUAAUAUUCUUUUAAAAGAAAACACUUGCUUCUUUUUAGUUGUCCCAAUUCGUAAUGAAUCGGUCUCUCUUUAUUUCAAAUGGACUCAGCUUAAAUUACAUAAAAGGUUUUGGAGUGUUGCUCAAAGCAACGGCAGAACGGGAGUAUAUAGCAUGCCAUAUGUAUUUGUAUAUAUGGUUAUAUGUACAUGGAGAAGGCAUAUACAUUGGAAUGCGCUUGGGACCGAACGUUCAACAUUUGGUUUGGGCAUAUGACCACUUUACAUAUUGUAUACACUACAAUAUGGUGGGCAUAUGCUUGUUCGGCAUGUAACAUGCUACACUCCGAGUCGCAGCAUCUCAUCCACCUCUGCAUACAGCAAUUGCUGGACUGCUGGAGACACCGGAUAAAACCGCUCCUUUACGGGCACUGCUACCAGCUGGUCUAGUGCUUCCACUCUCUGCUGUUGUGAUGCAUCUAAAGAGUGUGGCUCGACGGGUACGCUCUUCGUCAGAAACUCUGACUCCACCAAGUCCAAUGCCUCGACUCCCACGAUGUUAUGUGCAAGUCCGAACUUCCGCCAGAAAUCGAUACCUAAGUAAAGGGGCUGCUGGAGAGAAGGACACACAUACAGCGUAAGCGAUCUUUCCAUCUUUGCGUACUGGACCAUCGCGUCCGAAGAUUUUGUGCCUCGUGCCUCCUGCUGCUUGCACCGUGGUCUUCGUUGGUGUCAUUCGCAAUCCCAGCUGCUAAAGCAAUUCUAGCCCGCCUGCUCCCAGCAGACUCACGGAAGCUCCUGUGUCCAAUAGACCCAACACGAGAUGACCAUGCAGCUGUACUUCGGCAAAAUCCCGCCUGUUGCCAUUGACCACCAUCUUCACCGAUUCACACACCCGUCGGCGUUCCUGAUUCCUUGACUGGUAUCGUGUUCUGGGUUGCUGCACUCGGGAAGUGGUUCCGGCCUGCGUGUUUUCUUAUGUGGAUUGCUGAUCGAAGAUCCGUGCUCUGGCCUCCUCAUAGGCUACGCGCCGAACUUCUACGGGCUAUCUUACCGACCACUUGGGCUGCUUAGGGCUAAAUUGUUAUUGGAGGAAGUAUCUAGUUUGAUGGUGGGAAGGCAGGAAGGAGAGCCGUUACGGUCCGAGAAGGGGGUGUCCAACCUGGAUCUGAGAGCCAACAUCUCCUGCAAGUAUUCUUCGACGCUUUCGCCCGGUCGUUGACGACGUUCCCUAAGCUCCUGCUCUUCCUCGAAGCUGGAUUUCCGAGUCUGGAUUUGGACUUGCAACGCAUAUCGCAAAUUGGGCCAAUCCAUCAUCCGCCCGGUCCUCGCAUGCAUCCAGAAUCAAUCCUUCGCUCGACCGUCCACUAGCAGGUGGAAAUCUCGGAUCACCUCUGACCAGGGCAACUGAGCUUCCAUCAAACGUCAGCCUGCGACGAACUUGCACAGCAUCUGAUCUGGAUUCCGCGCGUUCGGCCGUGUUUGACCCUGGUGAAACGGCCCGGUGUCGCCUUCGCUCGUGGCUUGGCCGACGACUCUCAUAUCCGGCUUGGGCUCUCUGCUGCCUUUCCAGUUCCCUGCUUUCCAUCCAAUUUCCAGCACCGUGUUGAGCCGUCUCCUUUGAGGGAGCCGCGAGUGAUCCUGCUGGUUCUUGAAGUGGCUUUCCUUGAGAGGGAUCCGCUUGCUUCGUGUACCUAAUGGUAUCCUGGAUAUCCAUCAUAAGCCCUAGCAUCUCUGACAAUUGUGUCUCCAAAGCCUUAAACAUGGCGACGUUUAUUGCCGACCGAAUCUCACUCGGGAGUUCGUAGGGCGCUGCAUUCCCUUCGGGAUUAACCCACUGGACACCGGCAUUCGCCUGUUUCGGGAAUUCGGAAUAGCGUUGUUACGGUACUGUUCCUGUGCGCUGACUUGUGCCUCCCACGGCACCCUGUAGUGACAUAUCCGACUCCAUUGGGGGCAAAUCUUGCCUUUCAGCCUCUGAUUCAGCGCUGUGUUUAGCAGACUGCGCCCGCGUCGUGACACCCAGUUCCUCUACUCCUCUAUUCCGGCUGGCUGCGUCUUAAUUUGCGCCCCACCGACGGAUUGCCUUUGUUGGCCACGCUCAUUCCCUGUUUAUCCCGUUUCAAUAACUGUCCUACUUCUAAAUACUUUCUUGCUAAUCUGUGAAUCUUCUUUUUCCUAGCACUGGUUCCAGUUACCAUUUAAAUUUGUUAUUUAUUUAAUUUAUUUAAUUUAAUUUAACGUAUUUAUAAAUAUAUGUGC